rnacentral:rRNA from 1 species
GGGGGGCAACUCCUGAGUAGAGUGGCGCACGGGUGAGUAAUACAUCGGAACGUGUCCUGUAGCGGGGGAUAACCUAGCGAAAGCUAGGCUAAUACCGCAUACGUCCUAAGGGAGAAAGUGGGGGAUCGUAAGACCUCACACUAUAGGAGCGGCCGAUGCCGGAUUAGCUAGUUGGUGGGGUAAAAGCUCACCAAGGCGACGAUCCGUAGCUGGUCUGAGAGGAUGAUCAGCCACACUGGGACUGAGACACGGCCCAGACUCCUACGGGAGGCAGCAGUGGGGAAUUUUGGACAAUGGGGGCAACCCUGAUCCAGCCAUGCCGCGUGAGUGAAGAAGGCCUUCGGGUUGUAAAGCUCUUUCGGCCGGGACGAAAUCGCACGCGUGAAUAUCGUGUGUGAAUGACGGUACCGGCAGAAGAAGGACCGGCUAACUACGUGCCAGCAGCCGCGGUAAUACGUAGGGUCCGAGCGUUAAUCGGAAUUACUGGGCGUAAAGCGUGCGCAGGCGGUUUUGUAAGCCAGAUGUGAAAUCCCCGGGCUUAACCUGGGAACUGCAUUUGGGACUGCAAGGCUUGAGUACGGCAGAGGGGGGUAGAAUUCCUGGUGUAGCAGUGAAAUGCGUAGAUAUCAGGAGGAAUACCGAUGGCGAAGGCAGCCCCCUGGGUCGAUACUGACGCUCAUGCACGAAAGCGUGGGAAGCAAACAGGAUUAGAUACCCUGGUAGUCCACGCCCUAAACGAUGUCAACUAGUUGUUGGGGGCCU